GAUGAAGAACGUAGCGAAAUGCGAUACGUAAUGUGAAUUGCAGAAUUCAGUGAAUCAUCGAAUCUUUGAACGCACAUUGCGCCUGCCAGCACUCUGGCAGGCAUGCCUGUUCGAGCGUCAUUUCAACCAUCAAGCCCUAGGCUUGCGUUGGAGCCCUGCGGCUGCCGCAGGCCCCUAAAAGCAGUGGCGGGCUCGCUAUCACACCGAGUGCAGUAGAUUACUCUUCGCUCAGGGCGUGUGGCGGGUUCCAGCCGUGAAACCCCCUACUUCUCAAGGUUGACCUCGAAUCAGGUAGGAAUACCCGCUGAACUUAAGCAUAUCAAUAGCGGAGG
rnacentral:misc_RNA from 1 species